UGAUCUAGCCAUGCCGCGUGAGUGAUGAAGGCCUUAGGGUCGUAAGCUCUUUCGCCUGUGAUGAUAAUGACGGUAUCAGGUAAAGAAACCCCGGAUAAUUCCGUGCCAACAACCGCGGUAUUACUGAGGGGGUUAGCGUUGUUCGGAAUUACUGGGCGUAAAGCGCGCGUAAGCGGAUUAGAAUGUUGGGGGUGAAAUCCCGUUGCUCAACCUCAGAACUGCCUUUAAGACUGCUACUCUAAACUGCGAGAGAGGUGAGUGGAAUUCCGAGUGUAAAGGUGAAAUUCAUAUAUCUUCGUAGGAACGCCAUGGGCAAAGGCGGCUCAGUGGCUCGAUGCUGACGCUGACUUGCUGAAUUGUGGGGAGCACUCAGGAUUAAAUACCCGGGUAGUCCACACCAUAAAAUAUGAUGGCCAUCCGUCCCGUAAAAUAUUAUUCCUUGACGCUCCUAACCUAUUAAUCUUUCCGCCUGGGGAGUACCGUCGCAAUAUUCACACUCAAAGGAAAUUGACGG
rnacentral:rRNA from 1 species